UCCUUUGUAGUUCAGUCAGUACAACGGCGGACUGUUAAUACGUAUGUCACUGGUUCGAGUCCAGUCAGAGGAGACA
rnacentral:tRNA from 1 species